UACGAAGGGGGCUAGCGUUAAUCGGAAUUACUGGGCGUAAAGCGCACGUAGUCGGCUUUGCAAGUCGGGUGUGAAAUCCCCGGGCUCAACCUGGGAACUGCAUCCGAGACUGCAUUGCUAGAGUAUGGGAGAGGGAAGCGGAAUUUCUGGUGUAGCAGUGAAAUGCGUAGAUAUCAGAAGGAACAUCAGUGGCGAAGGCGGCUUCCUGGACCAAUACUGACGAUCAGGUGCGAAAGCGUGGGGAGCAAACAGG
rnacentral:rRNA from 1 species